rnacentral:rRNA from 1 species
AGAGUUUGAUCCUGGCUCAGGAUGAACGCUAGCGACAGGCUUAACACAUGCAAGUCGAGGGGCAUCAUGAGGUAGCAAUACCUUGAUGGCGACCGGCGCACGGGUGAGUAACGCGUAUGCAACCUGCCCGAUACCGGGGUAUAGCCCAUGGAAACGUGGAUUAACACCCCAUAGUACUUUUAUCCUGCAUGGGAUGUGAGUUAAAUGUUCAAGGUAUCGGAUGGGCAUGCGUCCUAUUAGUUAGUUGGCGGGGUAACAGCCCACCAAGACGAUGAUAGGUAGGGGUUCUGAGAGGAAGGUCCCCCACAUUGGAACUGAGACACGGUCCAAACUCCUACGGGAGGCAGCAGUGAGGAAUAUUGGUCAAUGGACGAGAGUCUGAACCAGCCAAGUAGCGUGAAGGAUGAAGGUCCUACGGAUUGUAAACUUCUUUUAUAAGGGAAUAAACCCUCCCACGUGUGGGAGCUUGUAUGUACCUUAUGAAUAAGCAUCGGCUAACUCCGUGCCAGCAGCCGCGGUAAUACGGAGGAUGCGAGCGUUAUCCGGAUUUAUUGGGUUUAAAGGGUGCGUAGGCGGUUUAUUAAGUUAGUGGUUAAAUAUUUGAGCUAAACUCAAUUGUGCCAUUAAUACUGGUAAACUGGAGUACAGACGAGGUAGGCGGAAUAAGUUAAGUAGCGGUGAAAUGCAUAGAUAUAACUUAGAACUCCGAUAGCGAAGGCAGCUUACCAGACUGUAACUGACGCUGAUGCACGAGAGCGUGGGUAGCGAACAGGAUUAGAUACCCUGGUAGUCCACGCCGUAAACGAUGCUCACUGGUUCUGUGCGAUAUAUUGUACGGGAUUAAGCGAAAGUAUUAAGUGAGCCACCUGGGGAGUACGUCGGCAACGAUGAAACUCAAAGGAAUUGACGGGGGCCCGCACAAGCGGAGGAACAUGUGGUUUAAUUCGAUGUCGUCACUUCCUUCCGUCCUUCUUUUCCAUUUGCAUAAUAUCCUACCUUAUAAUAUGCGCGUCCGUCUUUCAGUCCUACUUUGAGGAAGGUCAUACCGUCGGGACUGGUGACG